CAGUCGCCGCGGGAAGACAAAGGAUGCAAGCGUUAUCCGGAAUUAUUGGGCGUAAGGCGCGCGUAGGCGGUUUUUUAAGUCUGAUGUGAAAGCCCACGGCUCAACCGUGGAGGGUCAUUGGAAACUGGAAAACUUGAGUGCAGAAGAGGAAAGUGGAAUUCCAUGUGUAGCGGUGAAAUGCGCAGAGAUAUGGAGGAACACCAGUGGCGAAGGCGACUUUCUGGUCUGUAACUGACGCUGAUGUGCGAAAGCGUGGGGAUCAAACAGGAUUAGAUACCCCAGUAGUCCCUGUCUCUUAUAC
rnacentral:rRNA from 1 species